GUAACUCCUGCGGGAGGCAGCAGUGGGGAAUAUUGGACAAUGGGCGCAAGCCUGAUCCAGCCAUGCCGCGUGAGUGAUGAAGGCCCUAGGGUUGUAAAGCUCUUUCACCGGUGAAGAUAAUGACGGUAACCGGAGAAGAAGCCCCGGCUAACUUCGUGCCAGCAGCCGCGGUAAUACGAAGGGGGCUAGCGUUGUUCGGAUUUACUGGGCGUAAAGCGCACGUAGGCGGACUAUUAAGUCAGGGGUGAAAUCCCGGGGCUCAACCCCGGAACUGCCUUUGAUACUGGUAGUCUUGAGUUCGAGAGAGGUGAGUGGAAUUCCGAGUGUAGAGGUGAAAUUCGUAGAUAUUCGGAGGAACACCAGUGGCGAAGGCGGCUCACUGGCUCGAUACUGACGCUGAGGUGCGAAAGCGUGGGGAGCAAACAGGAUUAGAUACCCCAGUAGUCCCAUGAU
rnacentral:rRNA from 1 species